CUAUACAUGCAGUCGAGCGGACAGAAGGGAGCUUGCUCCCGGAUGUUAGCGGCGGACGGGUGAGUAACACGUGGGUAACCUGCCUGUAAGACUGGGAUAACUCCGGGAAACCGGAGCUAAUACCGGAUAGUUCCUUGAACCGCAUGGUUCAAGGAUGAAAGACGGUUUCGGCUGUCACUUACAGAUGGACCCGCGGCGCAUUAGCUAGUUGGUGAGGUAACGGCUCACCAAGGCGACGAUGCGUAGCCGACCUGAGAGGGUGAUCGGCCACACUGGGACUGAGACACGGCCCAGACUCCUACGGGAGGCAGCAGUAGGGAAUCUUCCGCAAUGGACGAAAGUCUGACGGAGCAACGCCGCGUGAGUGAUGAAGGUUUUCGGAUCGUAAAGCUCUGUUGUUAGGGAAGAACAAGUGCAAGAGUAACUGCUUGCACCUUGACGGUACCUAACCAGAAAGCCACGGCUAACUACGUGCCAGCAGCCGCGGUAAUACGUAGGUGGCAAGCGUUGUCCGGAAUUAUUGGGCGUAAAGGGCUCGCAGGCGGUUUCUUAAGUCUGAUGUGAAAGCCCCCGGCUCAACCGGGGAGGGUCAUUGGAAACUGGGAAACUUGAGUGCAGAAGAGGAGAGUGGAAUUCCACGUGUAGCGGUGAAAUGCGUAGAGAUGUGGAGGAACACCAGUGGCGAAGGCGACUCUCUGGUCUGUAACUGACGCUGAGGAGCGAAAGCGUGGGGAGCGAACAGGAUUAGAUACCCUGGUAGUCCACGCCGUAAACGAUGAGUGCUAAGUGUUAGGGGGUUUCCGCCCCUUAGUGCUGCAGCUAACGCAUUAAGCACUCCGCCUGGGGAGUACGGUCGCAAGACUGAAACUCAAAGGAAUUGACGGGGGCCCGCACAAGCGGUGGAGCAUGUGGUUUAAUUCGAAGCAACGCGAAGAACCUUACCAGGUCUUGACAUCCUCUGACAACCCUAGAGAUAGGGCUUUCCCUUCGGGGACAGAGUGACAGGUGGUGCAUGGUUGUCGUCAGCUCGUGUCGUGAGAUGUUGGGUAGUCCCGCAACGAGCGCAACCCUUGAUCUUAGUUGCCAGCAUUCAGUUGGGCACUCUAAGGUGACUGCCGGUGACAAACCGGAGGAAGGUGGGGAUGACGUCAAAUCAUCAUGCCCCUUAUGACCUGGGCUACACACGUGCUACAAUGGACAGAACAAAGGGCUGCGAGACCGCAAGGUUUAGCCAAUCCCACAAAUCUGUUCUCAGUUCGGAUCGCAGUCUGCAACUCGACUGCGUGAAGCUGGAAUCGCUAGUAAUCGCGGAUCAGCAUGCCGCGGGUGAAUACGUUCCCGGGCCUUGUACACACCGCCCGUCACACCACGAGAGUUUGCAACACCCGAAGUCGGUGAGGUAACCUUUAUGGAGCCAGCCGCCGAAGGUGGGGCAGAUGAUUGGGGUG
rnacentral:rRNA from 1 species